rnacentral:rRNA from 1 species
AGUGAACGCUGGCGGUAGGCCUAACACAUGCAAGUCGAACGGCAGCACAGUAAGAGCUUGCUCUUACGGGUGGCGAGUGGCGGACGGGUGAGGAAUACAUCGGAAUCUACUUUUUCGUGGGGGAUAACGUAGGGAAACUUACGCUAAUACCGCAUACGACCUACGGGUGAAAGCAGGGGAUCUUCGGACCUUGCGCGAUUGAAUGAGCCGAUGUCGGAUUAGCUAGUUGGCGGGGUAAAGGCCCACCAAGGCGACGAUCCGUAGCUGGUCUGAGAGGAUGAUCAGCAACACUGGAACUGAGACACGGUCCAGACUCCUACGGGAGGCAGCAGUGGGGAAUAUUGGACAAUGGGCGCAAGCCUGAUCCAGCCAUACCGCGUGGGUGAAGAAGGCCUUCGGGUUGUAAAGCCCUUUCGUUGGGAAAGAAAAGCAGCAGGUUAAUACCCCGCUGUUCUGACGGUACCCAAAGAAUAAGCACCGGCUAACUUCGUG